UUCUGUGCAAGGAGAUCAAGGCGAGGGCUAGAUGAUGGAUUUUGCAGCCUGCAGUUGUAUCCAUCACUUUGUAUGUGUAUGUACAAACCUGUGAAGAAAGUCAUGGUCAUAGGAUCUCCAAGUGCAGACGACAUCAUUAACCAGUCUUCAUUUUCUGUGAUAGAUUUUGUGUUAUUUUGAUUUUCAUUAUGUAGCCACUUGCGUGUGAUUAUACGGUGCUUGUAAAAUCAAAUAUACACUGCUCCUAGACAUGUUUUGGAAUCAGAACAAUGUGAGAAGUUCUGGAGUAUCACGUGGGAAA